rnacentral:rRNA from 1 species
AAGGUGGGUCCGGUUAGGAAAGGUCACUUUAAGCCCUCGGAAAAUGGCGCCAUGGAGGGGGAUAGCCCCGUAAAAGUAUCCCUUUUCCUUUUAUCCAUUCCCUCCAAAGAGUCGAGUUGUUUGGGAAUGCAGCUCUAAGUGGGUGGUAAAUUCCAUCUAAAGCUAAAUAUUGGCGAGAGACCGAUAGCGAACAAGUACAGUGAUGGAAAGAUGAAAAGCACUUUGAAAAGAGAGUGAAAAAGUACGUGAAAUUGUUGAAAGGGAAGGGCUUGCAAGCAGACACAACCUCGGUUGGGCCGGCAUCGGAGUGGGGGGAGACAAAAAAGAAAAGGAAUGUAACUCAUUGAAUUUUAAAACCCUUUUUCCAAAAUUCCCACCCCUUCCCAGGGCUGCGAAUCUUCCAGGAUGCUUGCCUAAUGGUUGGCAGUUUCCCGUCCUGAACAAGACCCCCCCCCCGCGGGGGAAAAAAACCGGGGGAAAAAUUUUCUUCUUUUUAAAAAAAAAAAACGUUUUUUUUUUUAAGGGGGGAAAUUUUUUUUUUUUU